GACGAACGCUGGCGGCGUGCUUAACACAUGCGAGUCGAACGGAAAGGCCCUGCUUUUGUGGGGUGCUCGAGUGGCGAACGGGUGAGUAACACGUGAGUAACCUGCCCUUGACUUUGGGAUAACUUCAGGAAACUGGGGCUAAUACCGGAUAGGAGCUCCUGCUGCAUGGUGGGGGUUGGAAAGUUUCGGCGGUUGGGGAUGGACUCGCGGCUUAUCAGCUUGUUGGUGGGGUAGUGGCUUACCAAGGCUUUGACGGGUAGCCGGCCUGGGAGGGUGACCGGCCACCUUGGGACUGCGGUACGGCCCAGACUCCUACGGGAGGCAGCAGUGGGGAAUAUUGCCCAGUGGGCGGACGCCUGAUGCAGCAGCGCCGCGUGCGGGAUGACGGCCUUCGGGUUGUAAACCGCUUUCGCCUGUGACGAAGCGUGAGUGACGGUAAUGGGUAAAGAAGCACCGGCUAACUACGUG
rnacentral:rRNA from 1 species